GCUUCCAGGUUAGUAGCAGCAAGGAAAAAAACCCCAAGCUUCUCCAGGGUGAGAGGCUAUGCCCUUCCCCAUAGGGGAAACAUCCAGACCUGAGUGUCUGCUGGGGAAGGACUGACUCUCCUGGGCAAACAAGAAGACAACACCCUGUCCUAGUGAGGAGGCAGAGAAAGACAUCCUGGUAGAAGUGGGUGAUGAAGAGGGAAAUGAAAGAAGGACAGGGGAGAAUGUGCCAUACAAAAAGGGUGUUGUGGAAGAAAGUUCGAAGGUGUUUACAGGAGCAGAGGCUGAAGGCUGGCAUAACUGGUGACAUCAGACACAAUAGCACAUGCAUAGGAAGGGCUAAAAUGUGAAGCGACUUAAAGGAACAAAGAAAAUGCCAUAUAGGAUGAGACCAGUGAGCCAGCUGUUCUUCUGUUAACUCAGGAUGUCAUGACCUUGAGCCUGUUCCAGGUGGUUACAAGCCCAGUGCAUGAGGAUGGCUACCUUUUGGUUCUUGUUGUUUGGAUGGAGGAGGAGAUUUAUUAUAAUUUUAUCAAGUCAGAUUAUCUCCUCAUCAUGUUUGAAGUCAGACCUCCUUUUUGAGCAAAAACCCUGUCACUUAUCUGCCUUGCUGAAAGAAACUGAUGGACCCAGGUACAACUGCUCAGUUUCUGACUGGAGUGAUGCAUCGACAGUGACAGAGCCCAGAUACUAUGUGCUGCUUACACUGAGACGCUGGAACUUGCUCCCACACUUGAUCUAAAAUAACCCAAAUUUGCUAACCGGGAAACCAACCUGCAAGGCUCUGAAAUCUCCAAUUGCUUGGCAGAUGGACAAUAACAAUAUACCUAUGUCAAUUCCACUUUCCUGCUUUUCACCAGACCCUUCCACUUUUUCCUCUCUAGAAACAAAACUCGGGCCUUAAAUAUUCUGUAUUAAGGAAAAGGUCAUAAGGGGCAUGAUCUUUGGUGGUGUUAACUAUGAAUUUCCUUGCAUUAGAUGGAAAUUGGUUCAAAACAGGAUGUAAUCUGGAAACUAGGAAUGACCCCUUCCCAAUAAAAGUAAGGAAAUUCACUUUAA